GUUAGUCUCUCUCUACAGACAGGUUCACUCUACUGUUAGUCUCUCUCUCUACAGACAGGUUCACUCUACUGUUAGUCUCUCUCUACAGACAGGUUCACUCUACUGUUAGUCUCUCUCUACAGACAGGUUCACUCUACUGUUAGUCUCUCUCUACAGACAGGUUCACUCUACUGUUAGUCUCUCUCUACAGACAGGUUCACUCUACUGUUAGUCUCUCUCUACAGACAGCCUCGUUACACAGCAGACAGGUUCACUCUACUGUUAGUCUCUCUCUACAGACAGGUUCACUCUACUGUUAGUCUCUCUCUACAGACAGCCUCGUUACACAGCAGACAGGUUCACUCUACUGUUAGUCUCUCUCUACAGACAGGUUCACUCUACUGUUAGUCUCUCUCUACAGACAGGUUCACUCUACUGUUAGUCUCUCUCUCUACAGACAGCCUCGUUACACAGCAGACAGGUUCACUCUACUGUUAGUCUCUCUCUACAGACAGGUUCACUCUACUGUUAGUCUCUCUCUACAGACAGGUUCACUCUACUGUUAGUCUCUCUCUACAGACAGGUUCACUCUACUGUUAGUCUCUCUCUACAGACAGGUUCACUCUACUGUUAGUCUCUCUCUACAGACAGGUUCACUCUACUGUUAGUCUCUCUCUACAGACAGGUUCACUCUACUGUUAGUCUCUCUCUACAGACAGGUUCACUCUACUGUUAGUCUCUCUCUACAGACAGGUUCACUCUACUGUUAGUCUCUCUCUACAGACAGCCUCGUUACAUAGCAGACAGGUUCACUCUACUGUU